rnacentral:rRNA from 1 species
AGAGUUUGAUCAUGGCUCAGGACGAACGCUGGCGGCGUGCUUAACACAUGCAAGUCGAACGCUGAACCCGGGUGCUUGCACCUGGUGGAUGAGUGGCGAACGGGUGAGUAACACGUGAGUAACCUGCCCCGGUCUCUGGGAUAAGCGCUGGAAACGGUGUCUAAUACUGGAUACGACCCAUCACCGCAUGGUGUGUGGGUGGAAAGAUUUAUCGGAUGGGGAUGGACUCGCGGCCUAUCAGCUUGAUGGUGAGGUAAUGGCUCACCAUGGCGACGACGGGUAGCCGGCCUGAGAGGGUGACCGGCCACACUGGGACUGAGACACGGCCCAGACUCCUACGGGAGGCAGCAGUGGGGAAUAUUGCACAAUGGGCGCAAGCCUGAUGCAGCAACGCCGCGUGAGGGAUGACGGCCUUCGGGUUGUAAACCUCUUUUAGUCAGGAAGAAGCCUUCGGGUGACGGUACUGGCAGAAAAAGCACCGGCUAACUACGUGCCAGCAGCCGCGGUAAUAC